UCUACUCCCAGGGAGAAAGAGCAAGGAAAUCAGCAGGGAAACCAGUGGAAGUCAUGGUUUGACAACAUCAAAGAACAGCUUGGACCCUAUCCUUACAGAGAGAAAAAGGUUGCCAGGAUCCCAUGAGUUGGCUGACUAAUGAGUGAAAUGCUGCCAAUGCUCCGAUUCAGGACGGCUUGGGGUGACCCACUGAGUGAUGGCCAUUGCUGGUGGAAGAAGUUAACAGGAAAAAAAAAAAAAGCAGGGAGAUAAAGAAAAAUAACCAAGCAAAUACAGGAAUUGGGAACUCAUAGGAGCACAGAGGGAGUUGCCUCUUGGAUCAGAAACGUCUGUGUUAGUAGUAAGGUCAACAGUGACUUCUGAGAAGCAUUUGCAACAUUCGUUACCGCUUCCGUCCUCUGACAUAGACACAUCAGCGUGUGGUGUUAUUUGUCUUGUCCACACGGAUCAGAAUAAUGGACAACGUGGCAGGGAAAGGCAGAAAAUACAUCAUUUAAGAAACAGGACAGCCAGAUGUACAUGAACACUGGGAUUUCUCAUAAUGCACAUGGGUCAGCUCCUUCCAGUUAUUAUAAACAGCCCUGUGCUCCUUUAUGAAGACCAGAUCCUCAGUGAGGUCUGAGUGACUUGAUUUGCUCAUCUGUGCAAGAGAAAGUGGUUAGAGCAAGCCAUGGUGCUGCAGGGCAAGGGACAGGCAACUGCCUUUGGGUAAGAAGGGUUGAUGAUUGAUGGCAAAAUCAUCUAGUCCUAUUGGUCUCUUCCAACCUUUAUGAUUCUAAGAAGGAGCUUUGUAACAUACUGGGUGAAGGACUGCUUAGGCUGUGCAGAAAAUGCUUCCUAGUUCUCCUAAAGUGGAAAAAUCCACUAAAUCAGCCUAAAUGAAUUGGAUGAAAGCUACUGCAGCCUUAAGGUUUGCUGAAGUGGGAUGUUAAGGUGAGCAGGGUGACACCUAGUUUGCUGUAAGUCCUUCCUCAAUCCACCAAUAUGCCUGUCCCUGCACCUCCUGGAUUUCAGCUCAUGCUGAAGAGCACUGCUGGACUUGGAUUCCCAUGGAGGGAACCCCAGUGCAGCACUGAAGUCAACAUUUAAGUGAGAAGAACAAUUCUACUGGUGAGUCUCUGACCACAGACAUGCAUGCUGCUGGCUCAUGGGUCUUGUUUUGCCUAGAUCACGCUCCUCAGAGAGGUUUGUACAGCAUCUAUUGCAACAGGAUCACGAUCUUUUCUGAGGCCUCUGAACACCGUGGUAAUAUAAAUAAUAAGAAAGCAUUUAUCAAAGCAUACAAAGGAAACUUUGUGCUUUGAUUUAAAGCAUGUAAAAUGAGUCUUGGAAAAUAUUCCUCCAAAGGAGUAGAGGAUUAAUUAACACUUGCCCAGACCACUGCAAUCACAAGCAGUGCUGGGAGCCCUGUGCACAGCUGUGUUACCUGCAGGAGCAUGGGCAGGCAAUGGAUCCUGGAGGACAUCUCCUUGCUUUAACUGGGUUUGCUUUUCUGUGCCAAGAACACCCAAUGGAAACCAAGGGGGCACACAUGAAACUAUGUCUUAGUUAAAGAAAUUAGGAGUAGCUCAACAUCCUUGAGUAUUAGCAUACCUAUUGCUAAGUUUUGAUAUGUUGCUGCAUAUUUGAUUGCCAAACCUUUUUGAAAUUUCAACCCAGAAAUUCCCUCCAGGAUGGCAUGUGAGUGACAUGGGGACACUGCACAGCUGCAGAGAGCUAUGUUCCCAUGUGCUAUCUGUUCAGAGGUCAUCAGUCUUCCAUGCUGAAAGACUCAAGAGUUGGAGUUUAUCAUCUCAGCUGGUUCGAAUUGCAGAGCAUGAGAAGGAGGGAUGGUUUUCCAGCUUUUAAGCCAGGAUAAUUUGUUUGCUUUUUUUAAUUAUAAAAAUGGUUUAAAUCCAUCAAGUCACUCUUUGUAGUUAUAGAGGUGCAAUAAAUCCUAAUCUGUUU
rnacentral:lncRNA from 7 species